AGCUUUGUGCAGUGGCAGUAUCAUAUCCAAUGAGGUUUAUCCGAGGUGUGAUUAUUGCUAAUUGAAAGAAUAUUCAGAUCAGAAAGUGGAGAAGUGGUCUCAAUAAAAUUGUUCUAAAGGGCAUCCUGCUC
rnacentral:snRNA from 1 species